rnacentral:lncRNA from 1 species
AAGUUCAAUGGGUUGAGUGUUUUGGGAUUUCGCAUACCUGGUAAAGAGGUGAUACAUUAAAACAAAUGUAUCCUUGGGGUCCCUGCAAAUGUAAAUAAUUUUACAACCAGAAUCAAUUAUUGAUGUGGGUAAGAAUGAAUAAGGAGCAUGAGUGGCCAAGAGAGGAAUUCCAAGAUGUCGAUUAGCGGAAAAAUGGGCAUGAUCAAGCUCCAAGAAAGGCACAACAUCAUGAGGCAUCUUGAAAAGCAAAGGGUUGAAAAGCAAAGGGGUGGUAGAAUCAUCGAAUGAAGUUCUUGUAAUAGUGGCGAAAGUGAGAGAUUUUAACCAGGCUGUACCGGUUCUAGGAGCACUAGAAAGUAUGAUAUCAGUGGGUUGAGCCUCAAACUGUUGUUGAGCUAACAUGACUCCUUGUAGGAAAGGUGGGGUGAGCCAAAAACCUUGAUACUGAUAUAGAUGAUCGGGAAGACCCCAGCUGUUCCCUUUAGGGAGAGUAGAAAUCAUCUCUUUGAAAGAUUUCUGAAACUCAUCUUCGUUUUCUUGCUCAACAUGGGAAUCAAAGUGGGAUUCCAUGAUUAAUGAGUGCAAGUAGUAUGGAAACAAUGGCUUUAUAUAUAGGCUGAAAGAAUUAAAAUCACAUACGCAAAUUUUUUGGACGUGGCGGUAGUGAAAGAGAUUGGGAGCGAGACGUGGAGGUGGUGGGUCCUGUCUUAGGGCAGUAGUCGGUCCUAAACCAGAAACAACCUCGUCAGCCUAAUGGGGGACUCCCAUUUAAUAAAAAUUAAUGAUUUUCAAUUUUAAUUUCGGCGUCAAAAAAGUUAUUGGAUUAGUUUUAAGAUUUUACGCUUUUUUUUUUACUAUAUUAGUUAGGUAAUUAUUCAAUAUACUGGAGGGUUUAAACUCCUUGUACAAGGUUAAAAAGUUGGCAUGGGUUUCAUUUUCUAUAUAAUUAAUUUUUAUUUUUUUACUAUAAUUUUAUAUACAUGUUAUCCUCUUAAUUUUGCUGGUAGAGUUCAAUAACUUCACUAGCUAUAUAGAAUUAGAAAUUAUAUUAGGCAUGUGAAAAUUACAAAUAUAUUUUUAAAAAUAAUAUACAAUAAAUAAUAAAUAUAUAAUUUAAAAUUAAUUAAUAAUACAUAUAAAAUAUAUACAUUGUUUUACUAUAUCAAUUACGUAAUUAUUCAAUAUAUCUGAAAGAGUUGGGCAAUUUACUAAUAAAAGCUUUUUUUUCAAAAAUUAUCGAAAUGGGCUCAUUUUUUAAUUAUUUACCGAAAUGGUCAUUUUUCGGGAAGUCGCGUCCACGUCAACGCAAUGUCAGGGUACGCGUCAGGAAAUCGCGUCCACGUCAGCACGAGAUGCUGACGUGGAAGGAAAUUGCACUCUCAAGGACGCGAUUUCCUUCCACGUCAGCAUCUCGCGCUGACGUGGCGCGAUUUUGGCCCGCGCAUGAACAGUAUCCAACGGUCAAAAAAAUAAAAUACCGGGCUCAUUUCGAUAAAUUUUAAAAAUAUAGGGUUUUUUUGGUAUUUUGAAAAAAUAAAUUUUGAAUCUUUUUGUACUUGUAUUUAUUUUUUUAAUUAAUUAACUCUUCAAUAUUACAUCAAUAGCAACAAGUACAAAAAAAGAUUCAAAAUUGUUACCAACAAGAUUUAAACCAAUGUACUAAGAGAAAAGAGCAACCAUCUUAACCAACUAAGCUAAACUAAUUAAUUGACAUAUUAUAGAAAAACUGUUAUUAUCUUAAUUAUAUUACUUACAUUCUAACGAUUUAUCGGACCUAUUCCAUACACGUGUCAAAUCAGAAAAAAUAAUACAACAAUUCUGUAAAAAAAAUCUGGUGUUUACUUCAAAUAAAUAAGGAAAAUAAUGAUUUGAAUGUUUCAAAAUUUAAUUUUAAACCGAAAAAAUCAAAAUUUAGGGGCAAAAAAUGAUCUUUUUCGAUGAAAACUGCGGCAAACCGCCUUCAAUUGUUUGUCAGUGCGUAGAUUUCGAAAAGUUAUUCGAAAUAAAAAAAAUCGUCUCAAUCGGACAACCGAGCCAAAAGUUAUGGUAUUUCAAAGUUUUCCAAGCUAAAAAACAUAAACUGUUCAUCCACGUCAGCAAAUCGCGUCCUCGUAGGCGCGAUUUGUGUCCACGUAAGCAAAGCGCGCUGACGUGGACGCGAUGUUCUGACACGUCCCCUAACAUCGCGCUGACGUGGACGCAAUUUCAGGGAAAAUGGCUCAUUUCGGUAAAUAAUAAAAUACCGAGCCCAUUUCGAUAAAUUUUUAAAAAAUAGAGCUUUUUUUUGGUAUUUUGCCCUAUUCUUAAAAAAACACGUAAAAAUAUGGAAUUUCUAACACAAAAUAUUCACUAACCUAACUUUAUUAUUUAUUUUACCACACUAACCUAACCCGGUAUUUUAUUUUUUUGUAUAAAUUAUUCUUUAUCUUUUUACCACACUCCGUAAUCAUCACAUGUUAUCUUCUCAAUUUGUAGGUUUUAACAACUUCACUAAGCUUUAUGCGGAAUGAUUUUAAAUUUUAAAUUUUAAAUUUUAAAUUUUAAAUUUAAUAAAUAUGUAUUUUUAUUUCAUAUAAUUAAUAUAAAGUAGUGUUAUUCAAACUAUUGAACUUAAUUAAAAUUAUAAUGAAUUUCAAUUUAUUUUUUAAAUAAUUACCUAAUGAUUUAAUGAAAAUUGCUCCAUAUUAAAUUUCAACUUUAUAGUGAUAAGUUUUGUCUAUUGGUUGAUAAACUAAACAAAAUUAAGGAUAGAAAAGAAAAGGAGUAUGGAAUUUAUAAUAUAAAAUUAUUUGAUAUAUCAUCCUAUGUGUUGGCUUGAUGGUCAGGCUAUUUAUUGUCCCAAGUGUGGCCUGGAUUCGAGUUGCUGUAGUUGCAUUACUAUUAGGAUUUUACCCUCCUUUUAUAAUUCAUCAAAAAAAUAUUUAAUAUAUUAGUAAAAGUUAACUAAAAAUAUGCUGUCACUGUACCAAGUGCAUAACAAGGUAUAGUAAAAAAAUUAAUUACAUAAAUAAAUGUGAUACUUGUCACACCUUCAAAUAAUUAGCCUAAAUUUUAUAGUUUGGAAAUAAUAAAUUUUAAUUUUAUAAAUAUUCGAUUAAACUAGAAGGUCUUAUGUGUUAUCAUCUGAUUAGUCUAUAUCAAUUUAUUUUAAGAAUCAACUUAAUGAACCAAAGAUUCUGUUAACAGAGGAGCUUAAUUGAUGGUUUUAAUUAACAACAUAUUUUUAUAUAGAAAAAUCUAACCAAAAUAUUAAUUUGUAAGGGAGAUCAAAACUAAAUUCCUUUAUUCAAACCUAACAAGACAAUGCCACCGCUUCCCUCUAUUUGAAAUUGGUUUCUAAAUAAUAAAAUCUAAUCACUUGAAUGUACCAAAUUUAAAACAACACAAAAAUUCAAAUGGAUAAAAUAAUUAAAGAAAUAAUAUCAACAAAUGUUUUAUAUUCUACAUUUAACAAACUUUAAAAAUAAAAUAAUAACUAUAAAUUUCGAACAUAAUUUAUAAAACGAGUAAAAAAAUAAGGUUUAAUAAUAAAUUUGAUCAUUGAUGUUUGCAUAUUUUGUCAAAAUAAUUCUAAUUAUAUUUUUGAACAUUUUUUAGCCAUCAACCUUUGAUAUAUUUUUUCAAAUUGCUUUUUCUAAUAGAUUUAAUAAAUAAAUUCAAGGUUUCAAUUUUUUUUCAAAAUGUUUCAAGAAUUAUUUUUUAAAAUAAUUAAAUUUAUUUUUUAAAAUUAUGAGUUAUUUUUUAAUUUAUUGUAUUAUUUUAAUUAUAAAGUAAUAAAUUAUAUCUCAAUAUUUCAAUAUGAAAUUCCACAUAACUCCUUAAAUCUGUUAGAAAAAUAGUUUGCGAAAAAGAACAAAAAUUUAUAGCCUAAAAAGACUCAAAAAUAUAAUUAAAAUCAUUUAAUGUUAAUAGCCAAAUUUAUCAUUAAAUAAAUAAUAAUAAUAAUAAUAAUAAUAAUAAUAAUAAUAAUAAAACACCAACCUACACUGCAAUCUAAUCACUUUUCAAAGAGAAUUGCAAAUUAAGUUUGAUGAAACUACAAUACAAGGUUUAAACAUAAUCCUACUCCUUAAUCAAAGGAUAGUAAAAUAGAGAUUAAACCCUACCAUGCAUACAUUAUUAGUUUCGAAAAUGGAUCUAAUGAAACAUUUCCUUCAUAUUUAAUUAAAACUUAAACCUGAACCACUUAAUUUUUGCUGAGUUAUUUGGUCUGUGUACUCAUUUCAGGGGUCAAAUCAUUCUUCCAAUCUCAAACCUUCCCUUUCCGAAAAUAUAUUUUGUUUUCGGUCUCCAGAUCUUACCCUUCACGAUGCUUCCCACUUUUAUUCACUUCCAAGUUGCUUAUAUUCUCGAAACUACACCCCUUUUUGCUGUUCCUCUAAUGAAAACGGACAACCCAUAAACUCUGCCAAUUUCUUAAGAUACAAGACAGUAUCUUCAUUCAUUUCUUCAUAUUUCAAGAACAUAAACUUGUCCGGAUGUUCCAAGCUUGCUUUCCAGUACCCCAGAACAUGGUCCCAAUAAGAUCCGUACCAACUUACGCCUUCACAAAAUAACUCAAACGCUUCAUCAAGUUCAAUGGGUUGAGUGUUUUGGGAUUUCGCAUACCUGGUAAAGAUGUGAUACAUUGAAACAAAUGUAUCCUUAGGGUCCCUGCAAAUGUAAAUAAUUUUACAACCAGAAUCCAUUAUUGUUGUGGGUAAGAAAGAAUAAGGAGCAUGAGUGGCCAAGAGAGGAAUUCCAAGAUGUCGAUUAGCGGAAAAAUGGUUAUCUUAAAAAGCACAACAUCAUGAGGCAUUUAAAAAGCAAAGGAGUGGUAGAAUCAUCUUAAAAAGCUCCAUGAAAGGCACAACAUCAUGAGGCAUCUUAAAAAGCAAAGGAGUGGUAGAAGCAUCGUAUGAAGUUCUUGUAAUAGUGGCGAAAGUGAGAGAUUUUAGCCAAGCUGUGCCGGUUCUAGGGGCACUGCAAAGCAUUAUAUCAGUGGGUUGAGCUUGGAACUGUUGUUGAACUAACAUGACUCUUUGUAGGAAAGGCAGGGUGAGCCAAAAACCUUGAUACUGAUAUAGAUGACCGGAAAGACCCUAGUUGUUCCCUUUAGGGAGGGUAGAAAUCAUCUCUUUGAGAGAUUUCUGAAACUCAUCUUCGUUAUCUUGCUCAACAUGGGAAUCAAAGUAUCACAUGCACAUUUUUUGAACGUGGCGGUAGUAAAAGAGACUGGGAGCGAGACGUGGAGGUGGUAGUCCUGUCUUUCUUCAGCCUGAUGGGACUCCCAUUUUGAAUUUCGUGCAUCCAUUCUAAUAUUUAUUCAAUAUUAAUAAUUUUUUAUCUUCAAUUUUAAUUUGGACGUCAAAAAAGUUAUUCGAUUAGUUUUAAAAUUAUUCAAAUUAUUGAACAUAAUUAAAUAUAUUAAUUAUUUUGAUGAUUAAAAUAUUACAAUAAUAAAAUGUUAAAUUACAAUUAAAAUCUAAAAAAUUAUAAUGAAAUUCAAUUUACUUUUGAAAAGUUAGCUAAUAAUUUAAUGAAAAAUUCUACAUAUUAAUUUUUGAAAAAUAUAGUACUUGUAAGGCUUUUUUACAAAAUGGCAUAUUAAAGAUAGUGGAGGGUGAUGCAUAAGUGGCACCACCUUUUUUUCAAAAAAAUAUAUUUUUAAUCUUUAAUAAAAUAAUUUUAUAUUAGUGGUGCAUUAUUGGUAGGUGGCACCACAAAAAAUACAGGUUUCGGGUUUAGUAUAUACCCGCUUAUAUAUACUGGAAUGGUACAUGGGGGUGGUGUCAUAUCAAUAGGCGACACUAGUGACCCCUAUCUAAUAGGCGGCACCGGUGAAGCAAAUUUAAGGGUGCUUUUAAUGGUCCCCUAUGAAAAAAAGAAGUAGUUUUAAAAAAAAAAGGAUAACAUAAGAGAAGAAAGAGCAGACACUACACCAGAAUAGGUUAUUAGCGGCGUUUUUUUAGGCCUUUAGCAGCUCUUUUUAGCACCACUAAAGGUGUUUGCAGCGCUUGUGAAAGCACCGCAAAAAAUGCCGCUAACAACAACGUUGCUAACGUUUGCAGCGUUUACAGAAAAAAACGCCGCUAAAGGUUAUGUUCUUUAGCGGCGCUUAAAAAAAAGACGCCGCUAAAGAUCAUGUUCUUUAGCGGCGCUUUCAUCACAAACGUCGCUAAAAGUAAUGUUCUUUAGCGGCACUUUUAUAAAAAACACCACUAAUUUUGGAAUUUUUGUAAAAUAAAAUUUUCCAUUUUUUCAGCCCUCCUAUAACAACAAAUCAAAAGCAACCAGAUCUAAACCAGCUAAAAACAAUAAAUUUAUAUAAUAUUUCAAAUUAAACAAAUAAAAUAAUAUUAAUAUCAAUAAAUAAAAGUGAAUUCAUACUUUUCUUUACAAAAAUGUUAAAAGUUAAAAUGAUAAAAAUAUUUAUGCAAUACACUAUGACGGCAGAAGUUGCGACUGCUGAAACAUCUUCAUCAUAAUCUAAAGCUGCUGUUGAAGUUCGUCGUACUUUUUGCUCUGCUCUGCUUCUCUCGAUGCCGCAUCUGUAAUGACCCAAAAUCCGUGGGCACCGAAAAAGUGUGUGUAUUAUCGGGCCUCCGUCUUAGUAAAUUGGGUUCGAAAAUAAUUAUUAGAAAUACUUACGAGAUUAGUUGUGUGUUUACUUAGGUUUUAGAUAGGUGAAUUUAGCUUAAUUAAGAAUAAUUAGGAAAGAUGAUCAAAUUGAAUAAAGAGUGAAAGUCUAAUUAUAGAUUAAAAGAAAGUUAAAAGGACUAAAUAGGCAAAUAUGCCAAGUCCCAUAAAUGGGGCGGCAUAUAUGCAUUAAAUUCAAGAUUUUGUUUAAGUUAUAUAUAUAAAUAUUAUAUGUAUAUAAUUAUUAUAAUUAUUAUAAUUAUUUAUUUAAAUGGUAAUUUAUAUUAAUUAUAUUAUUUUAUUAUGGAAUAAAUUAAAAUUAAGACAAAUGUAUGGUGAAAAGAUGGUACACGUGUAAUAAUAAUAUAUAUACACUUGUAUUAUAAUUAUUAUUUACUUAAAAUUUAAGUAAAAGAUAUUAAUUAACUAAAUAAUUAUAUAAUGAGAUUUUUAAUUGAUAAACAAAUUAAGUAGUGACAAUUGUAUGGUUAUGAUAUGGUACAAAUGUAUUAAUUAUAUUUGUUAUUAAAAUAGAUAUUUUAUAAAUAAUAAUUAAUUAAACAUAAAAGGAAAUAAAAACAAAGCAAAAGAAAAGAAACAAAAUAGAAAGAACAAAGAAACAGAGAAGCAAACGAAACAGGGGAAAGAAAGAAGAAAAAGAAAGAAAAAGGGAAAAUAGGGUUUUUAAAGCUUGGAAUUUAAUUUGGUAAGUCAAUCAAGUCCUUCUCUUUUAAUUUAGAUGUUUUAGAAGUUUUAAAACAAAGUUUUUUUUAAAAUAAGGUUGAGGUUUUGGAAGUUUAUAGAUUACUAAGCAUGGUUCAUGUUGAAUAAAUUGUUAAAUUAGGGAUGUAUUUGAUAGAAAUUUUGAUUGGAAUUGAAUAAAAGAUUGAAUUGUAAACUAAACUAUAAGUUUUGAAUUUUAGGGAUUAAAUUGAAAUAAAUUCGAAAUUAUGAAAGUAUGAUAAAAAUUAGAUAGUUACAUAUGAGUUUGGCAAGAAAUUGAGUAGCAAGAAGGUAUGAAUUGAGAAAGAAAAAUAUAUAGGUUUAGUUAGGAUUAAAUUGAAAUUAAAGAAAAAGUUAGAUAAAAAUUAUAGCAAUUAAAUUGUGUUGUGCUAAUAAUUAUGAAAAUUAUCUUAAUUUUUUCGUAGCUAAUAUUGCACCCGAGGCAUCCACGAGGAAAGGGAAGGAAAAAGUAGACGAGGAAUAGACACGAGAAUUACGGUUUGUAUCACUAUAAUUCAAACUUUACUAUUAUUAAGUGUUUAAUUUGCUAAUCAUGUGUGGUAAGUAUUUUAAGGUAAGUGUUUAAUAAAUGAUAAAUUUAUAAUAUGGUAUUGAAAUUGAAACUGAUACUGAACUGAUUUAUUGGAAUACUGGAUAUUGUUUUGAGUACUGAGUGAAUUGUGAAAAUACUGAAUAUUGUUAUAUAUAAUGCAUUGAUUUGUGAAAUUACUGAAGUAAUAAUUUACUGUAAUACUGUGAAACCGAUUGAAAUAAGGAAUUUAUAAUUGAUACUGAGCUAAGAUGGAAAUUAUACUGAAAAGUGAAUUAAAUACCCUAUUAACUAGUCGGGCUAGUCGGAUAUAGUUGGCAUGCCAUAGGAUAUGGAAGAGUACGGGGUAUUUGCCGGCUUACUGAUCAGGCACUUAUGUGCCGACUACUGUUACUGUUACUGAUUCGGCACUUUGUGUGUCGAAUACUGUUACUGUUACUGUUACCGACUCGGCACUUUGUGUGUCGAAUACUGUUACCGUUACUGUUACAGGUUCAGCACUUUGUGCGUUGAAUACUGUUACUGUUACUGCUAUUGUUAUUGAUUACUGUUUACUGGUAUGUUUAGUUGGAAUCCGUGUAUCCGCCUAGUCCGAGUCAAGUUAAUAGGGGCAAAUGAAAUAAAUUUACUAUUAAAAAUUAAACUGAAUAAUAUGACAUAUGUGAAAAGUGAGAAUUGAAGUAAAGAAAUAAGAAUGGUAUUAUAUAUAUAAUUAAUUGAUGAUAUAAAAAGAUUGAAUUGUUUAUUAGUAGUGAUAAUUGUAAUAAAAAGUAUGUGUGUGAUUUAAUGUAUAUAAUUAUAAAUUGAAUUAUAGUGAUACCACUGAGUAUAUGCAUACUCAGCGUACGGUUGUUUCCGUACGCAGGUUGUGGAAGUCAAGCACUGAACCAGCAUCCAAAGCCAGACCCAACUUCAGCAAACUUUUGGAGAUGUAUAUUUUCUUUUGGUAAUGUGGCAUGUACAUAGGAUGUGUAUAAAGGUUAUUAUGUUUUAGUAGAAAUGGUUAAAAAUGUUAGUAUUAUAAAUUUAUGAAUUAUAAUGAAAGAAGUUUUAUCUACUUAUUUAAUUAGUAUAUUGAUCAAAUUAAUUUGAUAUUAUGUUUAUUUAAGUUGAUUAGAAAGUAUUUGGAAUAGAAAUUGAGAAUGUGAAAUGAAUUGGUUGAAUUGGUUGUGAUUUGAAAAUGAUAUGGUUUUAAUUGCAGGGGUUUUAUGUAAAAACAAGCAGAAAUGUUGCCGAAAUUUUUAAAAAUUAAAUUAAAAAAAGAAAAAAAUGAAUGAAGUCAAUUAGUAAAAUAUUAUAUGAUUUUAUGAUUUUAUCUUAAUGUGUUUGAUAUUUAUUUAAGAAUUAUUGUAAAUUAUCUGAUACUUCCGGUAAUGCCUCGUAACUCUGUUCCGACGACGGUUUGAGGUUAGGGGGUGUUAUAGCAUCUGCUUUAAGUUGUAGCUGGAGCUCUUCAUAUUUCUUUUGAACCUCUACUUCUCUCGCUGCAUCUCAAUCACUUCAAACUUCCAAAAUCCAAAAAUCAAUCAACACAUCCAAUUUUCUACUAAUCUAUAUGAUAAAACAGGUGACUACCAUUUACAUUAUCUCAUUUUACAUAAUUUUAUAUUUUUUAUUUUAACAAUCUAAAAAUUGAAUUUAUUAAUAUAUUUGUAUUUAUUAUCAACAUAUUUUUUUUAAUUAGUUCCAUAUCUCUGUCAUAUAGAUCUAAAAUAUUAUUUAUAUAUUUAACAGUUAUUUUUUUAUAUAAAAUAAAUAGUUAAAAAAUUUUAAUUUGUACAUAUAUGAUUUAUAUAAAUGGGUUCAAUUACUAAAAUAUUAUUCAUAUAAAAAGCUAUAAAAAGUUAUAAAAAGUUAAGUGGAUCUCUCUCCAUGAUAAAAUAAUUUUUAAAAAAUACCAACAAGUAUUGAGUGUCGUGACAAUACACAUUAAUCACUUCUCAAUGAGAUCUGAAAAUUAAGUUUGAUGAAAUUAUAAUACAAGGAUUAAACAUAAUCCUAAUCCUUAAUCAAAGGAUAGUAAAAUAGAGAUCAAAUCCUACCUAUGCUUUAAAAAAAAGAAACUAGGCACCAUGCAUACAUUAUUAGUUCUAAAAAUGGAUCUAAUGAAACAUUUGCUUCGUAUUUAAUUAAGACUUAAACCUGAGCUACUUAAUUUUUGCUGAGUUAUUUGCUCCAACCGUGUGGCCAUUUUAGGCGUCAAAUAAUUCUUCCAAUCUUCAACCUUCCCUUUUCGAAAAUAAAUAUUGUUUUCAAUCCCCAAAUUUCCUUGCCCUUCACGAUGUUUCCCACUUUUAUUCACUUCCAAGUUGCUUAGAUUCUCAAAACUACACAUCUUUACAAUCUUUUCAGGCACCCCUUUUUGCUGUUCCUCUGAUGAGAAAGGACAACCCAUAAACCCAUAAACUCUGCCAAUUUCUUAAGAUACAAAACAAUAUCUUCAUUCAUUUCUUCAUAUUUCAAGAAGAUAAACUUGUCCGGAUGUUCCAACAUUGCGUUCCAGUAUCCCAGAACACGGUCCCAAUAAGGUCCGUACCAACUUACGCCUUCACAAAAUAACUCAACCGCUUCCUCAAGUUCAAUGGGUUGAGUGUUUUGGGAUUUCGCAUACCUGGUUAAUAUGUGAUACAUUGAAACAAAUGUAUCCUUGGGGUCCCUGCAAAUGUAAAUAAUUUUACAACCAGAAUCAAUUAUUGAUGCAGGUAAGAAAGAAUAAGGAGCAUGAGUGGCCAAGAGAGGAAUUCCAAGAUGUCGAUUAGCAGAAAAAUGGGCAUGAUCAAGCUCCAUGAAAGGCACAACAUCAUGAGGCAUCUUGAAAAGCAAAGGGGUGGUAGAAUCAUCGUAUGAAGUU